CAAGAAUGUGAUUUCAUCAAUGGGAGGGUCGGGUUGAAGUUUCACGAGAAGGUUCUUCAGCGAGAGAGUGCUCGGCAUUUGGAAGAGUUCAAAAGCAAAAUUGGCCCAGCUGGUGUUAGUGGACAGCUGCAUUAAACUUCCCAUGGGAGCCAGCUGGAAGAGCAUAUGGAACUAACAGAUAUGCUUUGGACUGCAAAUGAAGACAUAUGGUUCCUAAAGCCAGUGCAGAGCAAGCUAGUAUGGACUAAUUACUCAUACUAACAGAAUAAAGUUAACAUCAGAUUUCUACAUGAUCAAUCACUUCUGAAUACAGAUGUUAGACUAGUAUGUGAUAUUCCUGAAAAUGUUAACCUUUAUGGCUUCUGUAGUGCUUUGCUUUUUUUUUUUUCCAUAUCUUUCUAGUUUUAUCUUUGGACUUCCAUGGCCCUUCACAUGCAGAACAGAUUUGGUUUUCAUGGAAGAUAGUCAUGUAAAGAGAUAAGCCUUCUCCGGAUUAGGAAAUGGAUAGAAGCACUGCUAGAAACAAAAGUCAUUCAUCAAAUGGCACAGCUGUUCACUGUAUGUUCAUAAUGAGCUUUUUUAUUUGGGUGCUGUUUGGUAUUUAUAGCUAAUUAACUCCCUUUUACACCACCCAACAAUCUGCAUUUAGAGCACAGAGAAAAUGGAAAUAGAUUGAAUUAAAGCUGUUAAACACAGAGC
ensembl:lncRNA